ensembl:lncRNA
GGGGACGGGGCACUCCGAGGCGAGACCACCUCGGCCCAGCCCAGGCCCUGUCGCCGCCCCACAGCCCCGAGGGAGAGACUCAACUCCACCGUGGCGGGGUACCAGACGCUCAGAACAGCUGGCCACCUGUCGGGGGUCACCCACCCGAGAAGGGCUAACAGUGCCGCCGACCCCAGACCCUCCUCUCAGACACAACGUUCAGGGCUGGACUCACCUGGCUGGUCCGCAGGUCCCCUCGGAAAGGUAGCACUGGUGGAACGCCAGCUCUGAAGCUCCCAACAAGCCACCACCCUGCUCGGUGCCUCAGUUUCUCCCGGGUACCCGGGGCGGAGUCAGCAAACGCUGCGCACGCACGCGUGGGCACGUACACGUGGGCCCGGACGCACCGCCUCUGCUAUUUGACGGACAUGAAGGAACCCAGCGCCACGCGCAUGCGUAAGGCAUCCUCCGGGGUCGGGGGCGGGUUGCCCAGUAUCUGUGCGUGACAGCCAGAGGUCCCCCCGCCCCCCAUUUUAUUAUCCAGCCCUGUCCCUCUGUCCUUACUGAACCUCAAGGCCUCCGGACCUCAAGGCUUGAUGAGAGGCAGGGGCCCUGCUCCUCUGGACCCGCACGUGCCCACCCAGCGCUGACCCCACGUGAUAGAGGAGAGACCGAGAGGUUGAGUGAGGAGCCUCAGAAAAGGCUCGUAAAUGCUAUAAUCAGCGUUAUUUGCUGCAGGUUUGCGUUUGCAGGACCCUCGGCCCCUGGCGGAGCCGGGAGAAGGAGAGGUGGGCGUGCGGAGGAACCGGUCGCAUUACUUGGUAGCUGAGUGGAUCCAUAUCAAGGGGCCUGAGUGGACAGUGAGGACCACAGUGUAGGGACCGGGUCCCCCUUCCCAUGCUCUACGCGACUGCUGUCCCCUGAGUGCUGAGCAGAGGAGAAGCUGUAAACCAAGAGGCCCAGCCCGCAGUGGAAGAUGAAGUGCUGAUGAAUGAGAGCAGGAAGGAGCGCUCCCGGCUCAUCGGGGCUGUCAACCACCUCUCCUGACGGACUGGCACCUCCACCAGGGCAGCGGGUGGUGCUCCGUGCCAGAGUGGCCCACAUACAGCACAUGUGCAACGAAGACCUGCUGAACGCUGGGAGGCAGGCCUCUCCUAGCCCCACCUCCCCAUCUUCCAAAACUCAGAGCACAAGGGGCUUGGGAGGCAGGACCCGGCCUCCAGGAGCUGCCCAGGUUCAGGAGGUGGCCCCGCAGCACGGCCUGCCUGCCUGCCAUGCAUGGGCUUGCUGCCUGCCUCCCACAUCCUGGGCUUCUAGACAGCACCUGUGUUCAUUCCCCUCUUUCCUCAUUUGUUUUUCAAUGACUCUUCCGGAGGCUCUGCUGUAGGUCGAACGCGGUCCCCCCCACUCAAAUUCAUCUGUUAAAUCCUAAUCCACAAUGUGAUUGCAUUAGGAGGGGGAAUCUUUUGCAGGGUGAGUAGUCGUGAAGGUGGAGCCCUCAUGAAUAAGGAUAGUUGUCGUUCUUUAGUCGCUCAGACUCUUUGGGGCCCCAAGGACUGUAGUACCCUCAGGCUCCUCUGUCCAUGGGAUUUCCCAGGCAAGAAUACUGGGCUAGGUGGCCAUUUCCUUCUCCAGGGUAUAACCCUGUAAACAUUCACGUUUAACAUCUGUCCAUUUCCCUCUAGCUAAAUCACAUCUUGAUAGGAAAAAAACAAAGCAAAACCUUUUUUUUUUUU